GAUGAACGCUAGCGGCAGGCUUAAUACAUGCAAGUCGAGGGGCAGCAUGAAUGUAGCAAUACAUUUGAUGGCGACCGGCAAACGGGUGCGGAACACGUACACAACCUUCCUAUAAGUGGGGAAUAGCCCAGAGAAAUUUGGAUUAAUACCCCGUAACAUAAUGAUGUGGCAUCACAUUAUUAUUAUAGCUACGGCGCUUGUUGAUGGGUGUGCGGCUGAUUAGAUAGUUGGCGGGGUAACGGCCCACCAAGUCUACGGUCAGUAGCUGAUGUGAGAGCAUGAUCAGCCACACGGGCACUGAGACACGGGCCCGACUCCUACGGGAGGCAGCAGAAAGGAAUAUUGGUCAAUGGACGCAAGUCUGAACCAGCCAUGCCGCGUGAAGGAUUAAGGUCCUCUGGAUUGUAAACUUCUUUUAUCUGGGACGAAAAAAGGCUAUUCUUAGUCACUUGACGGUACCAGAUGAAUAAGCACCGGCUAACUCCGUGCCAGCAGCCGCCGUAAUAC
rnacentral:rRNA from 1 species